rnacentral:lncRNA from 1 species
ACUAAUGGAGGAAAUCAAAAAGGGAAAAGAAAAAAAAAACAAUAGAGGAAAUCUCUUCUAAAAAAUAAAGAAAAGAAAGUUAUACAAUAACACUAUUUACAUCGAGGUUGCAGGGAAAUCAUUUUGAAACUUCACAAUUAUAAUAAUGCUAUCUAGCCCCUAUUUAGUAGAUAUUAAAAUUUAGAUUUUAAUCUAAGUUAAAGUCAACAAUUAAUUUUAAUCAUAUAUUUUAUGGAGUCCACAACUUUUCAAUCACAUAUUUUAUUAACUUUUAUCAAAAUCUACAAAAAUUUUUAUUUUAAUUCCAAAACGGGGCCUAAUAUGAUUUUAGAACACUAAUAUAAAUAGAAAACUAUAUUAAGUCCAAUUUAAUGAACUCAAUAUUCUUAAAUAAAUUGAACAUAUAGUAUUCUUCCACUUGGACUUAAUCAUGACCUUUCAUGACUCCAAAUAUAUUACAAUUCAUUACCUAGCAUGAAUAACGUUUUGUACUUUUGUGGACUUAAAUUUGCACCAUGUGCAUCUGUAUAAUUCUAUUAUCAUUUAAUCUACGGUAAAGCUGAUGACUUGUUCUUGCUGUAAAAGAUAUUUGUUCAAGAAAAGUAAAAAGAUAAGAAUUAUUGGGAUAUGUUUGGCUAAGCUUGAAAAGAUUGCUCAAAAUUAAACACGUUAGUUUUACAAUAAACAAUUUUUUAUUUAUAAAAUUUGGAAAUUCAUAAAUUACUUAUUUUAAUAAUAAAGGAAGGGUAACUGUCAAAUUAGGUAACUUUUUUUAUGUUAGAAUCUAUGAAAAAAUAUAAGUUAUUCAAAGAUAUUAAGAAAAAAAAUUAUUUAAAACAACUUCUACUUUCUUUUAAGCUUAAAGCUGAACAUGCUUAUAUAUUUGAUUGUGAUUAACCAUACUUUUAAGUUACUUAUUUAUCUAUUAUUAUUUCCAGAUUUACUCAAUACUAAUAAGGCUUUCUUUUCAAACAAUUUAACAUUUAAUUAAAAACACUAGAGAAACCAACCUGAUCUUGAGCAUGGAUAGAGAUCUCCAGGUUGUCCAUUUAUGAGGAAAGCAUCAGAAACAUUUGGAUCCCCUCCAUUACCAAGAAACUCGGUCAGAACUGCCUGUAUAUCACUAUUCCACCAUUCUCCUGUAUCACACCACCAGCUCCAAACAUUCAAUUUCCUUGUCAAUUAUUUCUUUUUUUUAGAGAAACCAACCUGAUCUUGAGCAUGGAUAGAGAUCUCCAGGUUGUCCAUUUAUGAGGAAAGCAUCAGAAACAUUUGGAUCCCCUCCAUUACCAAGAAACUCGGUCAGAACUGCCUGUAUAUCACUAUUCCACCAUUCUCC